ensembl:lncRNA
UUUUUGCAUUUUGUUUGGUCUGUACAAUUCAGGGUAAUUUUAAUAUUUUAAUUUUAAUACAUUUUGUUUACUUCCAAAAACUGUUUUUGGCACUUUUCUAACGCAAAAUGCAAAACCAACUGAGAAACACUGCGUUGAAGUGUGCCGUAUGUUGCAUGUGUUGCACAUUGCAUGAUUGUUUGAGCUUUGCUUGGUUUUUGUGAUUAUUUUUAUUUUUUAUACUCACAUAUAUUUUUAUAUUAAGCCCAAUAGGCUAAUAUGUCUAUGUUUAAUUUGGAAAUGAACAGAUGCAUCUUUAGGCUGCUGUAAAAAUGUAAACACUGCAGUGUUAUUUCACAGGGGAAUCAGAUUGUUUGCUCAGCUCUGCUCAGACACUUAUUAUCAAAGACAAAACAUGUACAAUACUUGAUUCUCCUUGCAGUCACUGUAGGCUAUGGAUAUGUGCACACAGACUCAGAUGAAGUCUUCUGUCAAUCAAGAGCUCUUUUGAUCAUCGACGCCUCCCACAGCUACACACAGCCGUGGAUAUGCUGAUUUGAUCACCCUGGCAACAUCACGAGCCACUGAGGACAAAAACACGAGCCAGCAGCUCCUCACUUUCCAGCAACUCCAUCACCAGUCCUUCUGCUCUUGUGAAUUUGCAGUGCUAGACCUUUACUUCGUGAAUAUCCUCACACUGCUCACUCCUGGACUGUGUCGGACCUCAUCAUUCACGGCUGCGGCAUCCGGCUCAGGAGGAGCUGCCUCAGGGACAGCAUGGCUCAAAGCUGCAGCACACCGAUAGAAGGGCUGUUUGUAUGCUCAGCUAGCGAAUAAGAGCCACUUUGAAGCAUUCACAGUGAAAAUACAGCAUCAGGGUGUUUCUUAAUGAGUGUCUUGGCUGCUUUAGGCUGCAUACAAUGCACAAAUCUGAUCAUUUGACAGAUUUCACAGAUCUGUCCUGUCUGUUGCCAUUCACUUUAGACAUAACUGAUUGUAUUUCCUAUAUUGAUUUUUCCCAAUUAUUGAAGUAAUUGAGAAUAAAAUAUUAUUAAAGGGGUGUUCUGGCUUCCCA